rnacentral:misc_RNA from 1 species
UGCUUUAGUAUUAACACUGCGAUUAUAAAAAUGUGUGAGUAACAUGGCCCAAGAUUGACUGAUUUUGUACAGAGUAAGUUUGUCUUUAUCAAACGUCUUUCAACAACUUGUUACAAAAGCUAUCUUGGCAUUACUUUGUCCUAUAUUUUCUCAGUAUCUAGAAUUUUAUCAGUCUCUUCUAAAAUUUGUGCCUUCUGUGCAUACGUAUAUGCGUGCGUACGUGCAUGCGUGCAUGCAUGUGUUCGGGUUUAAUGCCUUUUCCAACAUGUUUCCAGGCAUAAGCGACGGUUUACUUAUAGCAGUGCGAAUGCACAUUUCACACAUUUACAGCCGUCAACAUUAAAUUGCCUCUAUUGGAUGUACGCACGUAUUGAGUGUACUAUAUACUGACUAAAGUUAAAUGCGUGCGUACUUUUAAUGCCGACCUUUUAUAGCGCUGUCUUACUGGAAUAUCACGCCGUGGACACGUAACAUGAUACCACACCCAGUCAUAUUAUAUACUGUUACAGGUAUGACCAGUCGCUAAGCGAGGAAAUUACUAGUACGAUUUUUCACGUUUUUGGUAUAGUUCUCCUCUAAAGGGUGCCCCAAACCGGCUCAUACAUAAUGUAUUCGAACACAUACAGAUGUUUUCAUUUGUUGGUUAAUAGUAUACCGACGCAGAUUAGGACACAUGACAACACUAUAGCCUUUAAAGUGGUGUUAAGGCUAUAUGUUCUACUCCAGGCAUUUUGUGCAGGCAUCAGAUGGAAAACGAAGCGUCUUCCUAACGUGUGAUAAUUUUAUUUUCAAAGCGGAUUUUGAAUCCACUGCUGUGUGGGAGGAUGUGUCGAAGUAAACGGCCUUAAACAAUCGGCAAGGAAGUAUCAAGGUCGUUGUACACACACUACUUUGUAUCUUCGUGAUGCAGCAAGACAUCUGUCGGAAGUUAAGUUGCAAGUGUAAACGGAAACAUAAUUUAGAUAUAAUUGGUUUGUGUGAUUACGAUGAUUCUGAUAAUGGGGGUAAAUAAAUACUUAGGUAUAUCGCGUUUGUAUUUAGAAACGUUUAUGCGGUAUCUUAAUUCAUGCACCUCAGAGUAGUAUAAUUUCAUGAUGAAACUGACACUUACAAUGAUAUCAGCUCUAUUUUGUUACCAGUUCACAACCGCAUUGUCAUUACCCUUGAUUGAAGAUAACGAAACACAGAAUUCAAACGACCAAGAUCAACAGACGCAUGCUAG